GAAGGUCUUCGGGGCAGGGUGAAAACCCCGACCGGCGGUUAAAGUCCGCGAGCCGAAAGGCAGAGCCGGCGAAAUUCCGGCACCGACGGUUAAAGUCCGGAUGGGAGAAGGCCAAA
rnacentral:ncRNA from 2 species